UGGAAAACAAAGAUAAAGACAUCAAAUGUGUGUCAAGAUGUAGGGCAGUUGGAUUAAUCCAUGUAAUCCAUCAAUAGAGAUCAGUAAAACUGAAUCCCUAAGGGAGUUGUUCUCCUCUUUGUGCACUAUAAUGGCAUCUUUGAUUCUGUGUUGUUCUUGUUUUGCUAAGUUUGAGUUUCAUGUUUGAAGGAAGGUUAAGCUUCAUAUGCUAGCAGGAAAACUUGGAGCUAGAUAGACAACUCAAGGUGUUGAACAAACCACCUAUUAGGAGCAAGAUAUCAAUGCUGUCAAUACACUACCAUAUCUUUGUUUUCCUUUUUCUUGGACUGGACAAGGAUGGCAGUGUUAAUGAUUGAUUGAUAUCCAACUCCUAAUAAGGAUGAUAGUGUUAUCGAUUGCAUUGAUAUCUACAAGCAACCUGCUUUUGAUCAUCCCUUGCUUAGAAACCACACAAUUCAGCUGUGGCUCAGUUCUCAGCUGAAAGAAUUUACGACAGCAAAGUCAGAAUCUGUGAAAACAAGCCCGCGAAUGGGGGUGGAAUGUCCACCGAGAACUGUUCCCAUCAGGAGAAAGAUCUAAUGAGAGCAAAAUCUCUAUCAAGAUUACUCCCUUCAGCAGAUCUUUCAUUUGUUUCGAACGGCAUAAGAUGCUAUGAGUUUUAAUGCAGUUUGUGACGGCUCAAACUGCUGUAGACCCAUCUAUUCAAUUUUAUGGACUCAGAGGAUCUGUCAGUAUAUAUAUAAUGAAACUGUGACUCCCAACCAAUACAGUGGAGCUGGAGUUUACUAGGAAAUGAUCUUAAAGGUCAAUUUGAUGGAAUACACUAUAGAUGGGUCGUGAAUCCUGGAUUAUAUAUGGAGACAACAAAACGCGAACUUACAGCUUCUGGACCGUAUGCCCCUAAAAGAAAUCUUGUACUUCAAUAUUUUGAUUCUGCAUUUGAAUUGAUGAUGAUAGUAAUGCAGUUUCUUUUGCAACAAUGGAGGCCAACAAUGGGAAUAGUGGAUGCUAUGAUCUUCGUUGCCCUGGUUUCGUUCAAGUCAGUCCUCAAUCUUGUCUAGGUUUAGAAAUUUUAAACCAGUCAACAUACGGUAGGCUUCGAUAUUUGGUGACGUUUCAAGUUCGUCAGGUAACACUAUAAUAUUAUAUGUACUUGGAAAAUUUUCUAUCAAUGGAAUUUCUUUCUGAUAUCUAACACAUUCUUGUAUCUGAUUGCCGGAUGAAACGGAAAUUGGUGGUUAGAAGUCCAUGGUGGUGCUGAUCAAGUUAGAGCCAAAAUCAUUGUCACAGGCUGAGGUGAUUUUGCAUCAGAUGACAAUUUGGAGGACAGGUCUACGAUCCUGCAAAUGAUCCUCUGCCAACCAUGGGAAGUGGUAGCUUUGAGCCGCCAGAGUUCAACAAGACUGGUUUCAUUUCCAACAUUCAGGUUCAUGUUAAGAACGAGAACCCCCCUCGUGAACCUGGCUUGGAAGCUUAUGCAGACUUCCCAGCUUGCUACCAAGCCAAACUUCUGGGAAACACAGCAAACCCAUACCACCUUGCCAUCAUGAAUGGAGGACCUAAUCUAUCGCCAGCAUGUAAAAAAUGAAAAUCAUAAAGGGAUUGUAUAGUCGUUCAAUGGGAAUUGCAUGGCAUGCGUAAGAGAAGCAGCGGGGCUCGGCAUAGCUAAGGAUUUUACGAAUGACUACUGGAAUAAAAAGAUUUUCAAUUUCUUAUCUUUGCUUCUCGGAUCACCAAGCACAUUCGGCAUAGCUUGGGAUUUAUGAAAUAGACUCAGAUGGAAUAAAAAGAUUUUCAAUUUCAUA